CCGGCCCGGCAGCACAAGCUGGGGUGUUGACCCCGGCACCAAAUAGCAUUGACUGAUCAACAAUCAGCAAAUACGAUGACAUCUUCCGAAGAACUUUGCGGCAGCGGCGUGGGCGAGGCGACAGAAAUACUGCCCUUUUCAGGGCCAUUUAAGAGUGCUUCCAUGAGAGCUGGGCCCUUUUCAGGGCCUCACUGUUCCUCCUGUCCCGCUUCUCCAGUGCCAUCCUUCAGUUAUGCCAGCCGAUAGCCGUUUCGCCCAGCUGGCAUAUGGCCUGGUCAACCAUGAUACAGAGGACCAUCUUUUUCAAUAUUCGCCUUUUGAUAAUAGGCGAAUAUUGUCUUAAUUAUGCCUUGAAUGCGUUAUUUGGUGUUUGACUUUGGAAUCUGAGAAUGGACAUUCAGAAUUCUGCAGUCUCAAUUUGGUGUUUUCCCCGUCUUGUAAAGUGUGGCCACAGCCAUAGAGUGAGAGAUAGUUUAUUGAUAGAACGUAUGCAAAUAUACUUAAGUUCCUCUUCAGUGAAUGUAGAUGCUAUUGAUAAAAAAUAUAUUUUCGAACAGAUCUACAAGCUAGCAGUUUCAAAAUCAGCUGCAUCUAUGCAAAACACAAACAAUGGCUCUUUCAUAAGGACAAGCUGAUGCCAACUUGUUUUUUUUUGACAGCUCACUUUGGUAGAACACUUAAAAGGGUUUCUGGCAAGCAACACAGAAAACACAGGGAACACAAUAGUUAAAAGGGUUAGGGUUUUUCUCACGUUUAACUGUUAACAAAGAAUUUCACUCAUUCUAAAUGUUUCUUUGAAUCUUAAAGAACUACGUAUCGGAUUGUUGUACUGUAGGUAUAAACAGCUGUAUUGGUAGGUUCCUUAAUAGCUAACUAGUUAAAUGUAAAAUGUUCAGCAAUAUUGAGGAGGAUAUUUCGAAGCAGUAAUGUUGUUUAGGUCAUUGGUUAGAAUUUCACUAUUGCAAUUAUUUGUCAUUAUUAGGUGACACUGUUAGGGGACAUUGUUGGCCACGCGAGACGUGGCUAACCCGUCUGUCAUCCCAGUUAUUUCCGCAUAAUUUUGCUUUUACUGUAAAUGUCUACCCUGGACCUGCGCUAUAGGCAUAGGCGUCCUAGGCGAUCGCCUAGGGCGGCAAAUGCGUCGGGGGCGCCCUCUGGUGGCGGCCUUAAUUAAUAAAUUAAUUAAAUCGGUUUAAUCAACACAAUUUCACUCCAUUAGGGGUGUAGUAUGUUGAGGACAGUUUAGGACAAUGUAUCGACAAAAAUCAUCAUCGGAUGUAUAGAAAAUGCAUUUCAUGCAGAGAAUGCGGUGAGUGCUGUAGUGCAAAGUGAGUUUGAAAAUAUUUUUUAAUAAAGCCACAUAGAUUAAGACAAGUGUGCUUAAAUCAAGGGAAGGCAUUUGAAAAAAGUAAAAAAUUUGGAAUUGAGUAAAAAAUGUAAACAUGCACACCAUUUAAGAAAAUGUAAAUGGUUGGAAAAAAAUAAAGUGAC
ensembl:lncRNA